CUGGUUGCACUACUUAUCCUUGGCCUGGCAGUAUUUUUUUAAUCAUAAAUCUGUUUAUCACUAGGCCAUAAAACCUUGCUUAAAGCUGAAAAGUAGCAGGAUAUGCUAUAGUUCAAUGUAUUGCUUUUUAUAAAUUACUCAUGUAUUUUUAAACAAUUGAAAUUGCAGCAUUUUAAAAAGUUUACCAAUUUGUUUGCCAUCCUGUAACAACUUCCAUAUUUCAGACUGGAUUUAUGUUCCCUCUAAGUCUUUGUGAUCGUUUUUUUUUUUUUAAUUGCUGCCUUCUUGACUUCAUCAAAUUCCUUUUACAGAAGUUAAGCUUUAUACAUGUGGGUGUGACUUAGGAAAUACACCUCCAUACUUUCCGUAAUCUGGUGAAUGCUGAACCGUCACAGGAAGCUGAUGAGACUGAGUUUGGGGUUUUUUGUUCUUUAAAAAGACUGGAAAUGUACUGAUAAUAACUAUUUACAGAAACUGAAGAAGGAAUAUUUACAACUACUAGUUUUACUCUGUUGAAAGUCAGACGAUCUAAUAUCAGUUUAUCCUACCUUUCUUCUUCAGAUUCUUAAUAGUUCACCUGAUCUGUUCUGUGCUGACCAGUCUUUCAGGCAGGAGGCAUGCACAUGGAGCACAACACAAUCUUGGGAGUCCUGCUGAACACUGCUUGCGUACGUCACACAGAUACUGCAGGUGUAACUUCGCUGCUCUCAGGGAGACAAUUUCAUGGAAAUCUUUCUGCAUCCCAGCUUCGGUGCAGUCCAGGAUCUCUGAGCACUUGUUUGUCACUGCUGUUGCUGUGUAGUGGUUACUGAUUGCCUGGCACAUGGGGCUGGAAGUCCCAGUUCUGCGCUGAGCUCACACACUAUGCCUGUGCCUGGGAACAACUGGCUGUCUUGGAACAAGAGGAACAUGAGAUGCUGGGACUGAUGUCAAGAGCUCAGCAGAAACCUCCCAGGGAAUGGCAUCAUUCCGGGCUGUACAAUGCACUGCUUCUGCUCCCACAGCUACAUAGCUGUUCUUCCCUUACAAUGCCUAGCUGUGUUUCUUUUCAUCUUUCUUCUCUUUUUUCCAUGCUGCCUAUUCAUUUAUUUUCACCUCCUGUUUUAAUCCUUUAGUCCUUCAUGUGUGCUGCAUGUGCCUUACUAACCAGUGGUUCCUGCAAAGCCUGCAGCUGCUUCAAUGCAAUAGGACCUGGACAAGAACGAGGCUGCAUUCUGCUGGGAUCCAUGUGCCACUGAUUCACGCUGGGAGUUCAGGGUGUCUAUGACUGAGUACACUACAAACCUGUUAUAAUGCUGUUAUCAUCUCAGACUCCUUGAGAAUAUUUUGGGAGUCAAGACUGGGCCCGGUGUUUAUGUGAGUCAGUCAAGUAGCAUGAUGCUGAGUUUGAUCCACGGUAACUGAACUCUGACAGAAAAGCAGAUGGGGUACCACAGACACCAAGCUAAGAUGCAGUCACCACAAGCUACAGGAUACAGGAGCGUCCAUGCCGCUGGCUCUGCCCAAAAGAUAAAUCUCCUGCUCGAGAGUUCUCUGUCCACAUAGGACCAAGCCCAGCAUAUGUACAGUAUUUGUAAAAUUAGAGAAUUUCACCAUGAGUUACUGUGCCACCACAAAGCCACCUCUUCAUUUGAACCUUAGUAGAGACCCCUUCAAUUUUUUUACAGCUACAUAUUUAAUAUAUAGAAAAUAUGUGUUCAUUAAAAAUAAAUGUAUUUCUCUCUAGGAAGUCUCUGGCUUAAAUGCCCAUUUUUCAAACAUUAUAUAUGAAAAUGCUCGAGUCCUGCAGUGGGUCACCAAUUAAAAUUUUGAUUUGAAGAUCAGCCUACAAGUCACAGACAGCCUCGUAAAGAUGUAACUAUCAUAACUUGCCUUUUCCCAGUUGGAACUGUCAGGUGAACGCUUCUGAAGCACCUAAUGUAUGACUAAUGUUUGUUUGUUUUACAAGAAGCUUUACAGCUGCAGUGUUCCAAGAAUGCUUAAAUUCAAUAAACAGCUAUUAUAAUUC